CUGUGCUCCAUGGUCGCGGCGGCUGUCUCCUGGGUGUUUUUGUCAUCCACUGCCAUCCGGGAUUCCGUCGCCUUUUCCUGAGCCCAGGUGGGAGUCGUGGCCAAGUUGAUGGGUCCUCAAAGCGGGAGGGCCUACUGUCGCAGCAGCUCUUCUGCAAGAUACCCUGCCUGUGCUCUAUUCUGAGAUCCCCUGCCUGGAAGCCUGCAUAGAAUCUAGAAGAAGUCGGGAAGUUUGGGUUGGAAGAGUGUUGCCAGCUUGGUCAUCGCUCAAGCGGCACAGCUCCUGUGUUCCUCUGGGUGGUAGGGUCGCCUUCUCUCUUGACGGUAGAGGCUUCCAGCUGACUGUCGCUUCAGUCCAGGAACAGUCACGGAACACCUGGGGCCUGCUGUUGGAAGAUCUUCUCCCGUCCAUGAACCUGGCAAACUACCUUGUUAGCUGCAGAGGGGGCAGCUCAGACCUUCCCAGUUCCUGACAGCCACCUCCCCCUAGUGGCUCCGCUUUGUAUCCUUCCUUGCCCCAGCACGUGGCGCAGAGGUGUCUACCAUCUGUCAGUAUUUCAGCAAUCCCAGGACACAAGAGCUAGAGGAGACCUGAGAGAUGAUUUCUUCAGUGGCUGCCAGGUUGUUCCAUGGAACCUGUUCCAGGGAUGAGGAUGUGGAUACUGAGAACGAGGCUUGCCCAUGUUGAUACACCUAAUGAGGAGCGGAGCAGAAUUUGAACCCAAAACCUUAAUUAUCUGAGCAGGUUUGGGUGCCAAGCUCUCUGCUUCCGGAAUGAAGAGCCUUGCUGUGCAUCAAGAUCCAGGCCCUUCUGGCAUCUACUGAAUGAAAA